CGGAUUAGUGGCGGACGGGUGAGUAACGCGUGAGUAACCUGCCUUUCAGAGAGGAAUAACAUUUGGAAACGAAUGGUAAUACCACAUAACAUUACGUUCUCGCAUGGGGAUGUAAUCAAAGAUUUAUCGCUGAGAGAUGGACUCGCGUCCGAUUAGCUGGAUGGUGAGGUAACGGCCCACCAUGGCGACGAUCGGUAGCCGGACUGAGAGGUUGAACGGCCACAUUGGGACUGAGACACGGCCCAGACUCC
rnacentral:rRNA from 1 species